rnacentral:rRNA from 1 species
UACGUAGGGCGCGAGCGUUGUCCGGAAUUAUUGGGCGUAAAGAGCUCGUAGGCGGCCUGUUGCGUCCGCUGUGAAAUCCCGGGGCUCAACCCCGGGCUUGCAGUGGAUACGGGCUGGCUAGAGGCAGGCAGGGGAGACCGGAAUUCCCGGUGUAGCGGUGAAAUGCGCAGAUAUCGGGAGGAACACCGGUGGCGAAGGCGGUUCUCUGGGCCUGUACGUGACGCUGAGGAGCGAAAGCGUGGGGAGCGAACAGG